CCCUAUUUCCUCGUUCUUUCCAUGCGUUCGACGGCUAUCGCGGCGCCGCCGCCGCUGGCUUCUCACCUUGCAGAUCCGGCGCCUCCCGGUGAGCCUCUCCUUCUUCCGCAUCUCCUCCGCUGCUUGCACAUCCUGCUUGUCUUGUUUCUUUUUCUAGGAUCUCGAAUUCAAUCUCCUCCGCAAGCGUGCCUGAUGCGGCAGGGGGGUACAUGUGGAGCUUGUCUGCGCCGACGUCCUAUCCCACCUGCCGAGUUCGUCUCCCUCGGCGGGAGCCUGCAACAACUGCCUUCUCAAGCAGGAAUCAUGGCUGGAACCUUGAAUUUAAAUAUGAUGCAGAACCUGUUUAGGAGGGGCAUGAAAUUUCAGCAGACAACAAGAAUGAUGAUAAAUUACAGGGUCCUCAUAUUGAUGAUUUAUUAGUUCGCAUGCCACACCAACAUUCACGAAGUUCAAUUAAGAUAAGAUGCAACUUUCAUUGUUAUUUCCUUGCAUAUUCAUGUGCAAUGCCAAAUCAAUUAUUUUCAUUUUAUGUACGGCCUUCAACAUGCAUGUCCUUUUGAACUUAAAAUCCUUUUGUACUUGUUUGAUAUAGUGGAAACUUUUUGGUUAAACUCAAAUUUAGAAAAGAUAUAGUUAACUAGUGGUAAGAUACAUAAAAAAUGUUUGUUCCUUUUACUUUUUUUUUGAGUGAUCACAAUAUUGCUCUAUGGUCUAUUAUAUGCAUAAGUUGGUCUUUUAUCAAUUUUAGUAGUUUAAGGAGUACUUCAAUUAUGUGUUUAAUGAUAUGGAAUGCACAAUCAGAUGACAUAGCCUGCUUACUUUUUGGACUUAGCAAUUCUGACUUGCAUGUUGUCAUGAUGAAAUCGUAGCAUAGAAAAAAUAGAACUACCAUUUUGGUUGACUUAAAGCCAUACAUACUACUAGAUUCAAUCUCCUAUGAUAAAUAUUGACAUUACUUUGAUUUUCCUAAUUUCAGGAAAACUCUAAGAAGAAUCAAGCACCGAGUGGAUAGAGGGGAAAGAAGGGGCAAAGAAAUAUAGGUUUUAGAUGUCAGAGAAAAAUUUUAGACAUAUUUGUAUGAUAUUGCCACUUUGUACAUGUUUCUUUAUGAACACAAUUGUCUUGUUGGUAUACAUGAAGUAAUGGAUCUGUUGGUCACUUUAUUGUUUUCUGGAGGCAGGAAUCGAUUUUAUGAACAGACUUA